rnacentral:rRNA from 1 species
UCGACCUCACAUCAGGCGAGACAACCCCCU